rnacentral:rRNA from 1 species
AACGAACGCUGGCGGCAGGCUUAACACAUGCAAGUCGAGCGCCCCGCAAGGGGAGCGGCAGACGGGUGAGUAACGCGGGGGAACGUACCUUUUGGUUCGGAACAACUCCGGGAAACUGGAGCUAAUACCGGAAAAGCCCUAACGGGGAAAGAUUUAUCGCCGAAAGAUCGGCCCGCGUCUGAUUAGCUAGUUGGUGAGGUAACGGCUCACCAAGGCGACGAUCAGUAGCUGGUCUGAGAGGAUGAUCAGCCACACUGGGACUGAGACACGGCCCAGACUCCUACGGGAGGCAGCAGUGGGGAAUAUUGGACCAUGGGCGCAAGCCUGAUCCAGCCAUGCCGCGUGAGUGAUGAAGGCCUUAGGGUUGUAAAGCUCUUUUGUCCGGGAAGAUAAUGACUGUACCGGAAGAAUAAGCCCCGGCUAACUUCGUG